ensembl:lncRNA
AAAAAAGACAUUCUGAUUCCUAGCUGACCAUUUUUAGAUUGGGGCAUGGGGACGAUGAGGGACAGUGCAGGAGAUAACACGGUGUCCACAGAGAGAGUGUCCCCUGCCGGUGACCAGUGCCGUGCCCUACAGAUUGCUGCAAACACUCUCUCCAAAUUGCAGGCACAGUUUUGAGUCCCCACAGAGUGGUUCAUGUUGCAAUUUGUAGUCUCAAUUUCUUUUUACAAAAUUAUGAUGUUUAAAGCAUUGUGUAAUUAGGUCAGAGGAAAACAGUGUUUAUUCUAUGAGCUGAGCAGAGGCUGCUCGUCUGAAUUCUCAUUAACCCAGUGGUUGAUUUGCUACCGCCAAGAGUUUGCUGACAAUGAAGGCAUGAGAGCAGUCUGACAGAAUUUUCCGCAGUUUAUUGUGAUCCACACAGUCUACUGGAGUGUAUUAGUGGUGAUGACGGAAUGAUUGUCCCACACCCAGAAUACCAGAUACUGCACUUUUUACAGACUGAGGGUUUGUGGUGACCCGCCUCGCACGUCUGUCGGAGCCAGUUUUGCAACAUUCGCUCAGCUCAUAUUUCUGUCACGUUUCACUACUGCAGUUAUUUUUAAUUCCAUGCCUGCUUAGAGCUGAUGAGACAGACAAGUUAACAGAUGACUGCAAGUCAGACAAGGGCCAACUGGACCCAUCAGAAGUACUCUUGAGGUGGCUGAAGAAGUAGUAAGUAACGAUUAUACGAGACUGUGUUGCCAUAUAAAUAUCUGGGUUUCAAUGUACUCCCUUAUAAAGUAAUUAUCUGUUUAUUAUUCUCCUGAUUCGAAAGGGAGAGCAUGAAAGAAUGAAAGCCUUGGUCUGUCAUACAACAUAACCACCAGUAGGAGGUGGGAGAGGCGGAAUGAUGGCCUGUCGAGGAUGUCCAUGUCCCUGUGUUAUCCAGUAAGGUGGGAUGAAGACUGCUAACCGACUCUUCUUAUUUACUUUUUGGAACAUAAUUACUUAUUAUUUGACUGUGUCGGGUCUUAGUUGCAGCAUACAGGAUCUUUAGGUGUGGCAUGUUGGAGCUAAUUCCCUGACGAAGGAUCGAACCCAAGCCCCCUGCAUUAUGAGCUCAGCGUCUUAGUCACUGGAUCACCAGGGAAGCCCCAGCUGUCCUUAAAAGAUGGAUCUUAUCUUGGACUCUCUAGUUGGUUCCAUACAAUCACAAGGGAAAAGGGAAGCAGGAGUUCAGAGUCAGAGAAGGUUUUGAAGGUGCUGCUCUGCUGGCUUUGGAGACAGAGGAAGCACACCCCCAGGAAAACGGAUGGCCUCCAGAAGCUGCAAAGGCGAGGAAACAGUCUCUCCUGGAGAUUCCAGAAGGAAGGCAGCCCUGACAGCAGCUCCCUGUUAGCUCAUUAGCCCAUUUUAGACUUCUC